rnacentral:rRNA from 1 species
AAAGCGCACGCAGGCGGUCUGUCAAGUCGGAUGUGAAAUCCCCGGGCUCAACCUGGGAACUGCAUUCGAAACUGGCAGGCUAGAGUCUUGUAGAGGGGGGUAGAAUUCCAGGUGUAGCGGUGAAAUGCGUAGAGAUCUGGAGGAAUACCGGUGGCGAAGGCGGCCCCCUGGACAAAGACUGACGCUCAGGUGCGAAAGCGUGGGGAGCAAACAGGAUUAGAUACCCUGGUAGUCCACGCCGUAAACGAUGUCGACUUGGAGGUUGUGCCCUUGAGGCGUGGCUUCCGGAGCUAACGCGUUAAGUCGACCGCCUGGGGAGUACGGCCGCAAGGUUAAAACUCAAAUGAAUUGACGGGGGCCCGCACAAGCGGUGGAGCAUGUGGUUUAAUUCGAUGCAACGCGAAGAACCUUACCUACUCUUGACAUCCAGA